GGGAACAUCUGCUAAUGUGUAUUUUAAAACGAAACUUUACAUGUGGCAAAAGCUUAAUUUGCAAAAGAAUGGAUUGCCAUGUUUGGAAAUACGCUUAUCCACUUUCCUGCAGAAAGUUAGAUGAGUGGAUUGCUCCUUGUCUCAUUGUUGUCGUUAAAUAUGAAGCUAACGCUACAUCUAGCAGCCGCUUAUGUUAGCUUAGCUCAGAAACUGCAAACUGCUGGCCAACGGACAAAAAGUGGCCCACCAGUACCUCUUAAGACAAUUAAUAAACAUAUUAUAUUCCGUUUCUUUAAUGAGUAUAAAACAAUAGUGUAAAAGCAAAAUUGUGCCAUUUUACAUGGGUUAUCGACCAGACUAUUUAUUGGCAUGGACCACAACUGUGGAAUCUGCGCUGGUUGCCUAGCAACCAAAAUAAGACAAAACUAACUAGCUAGCUAGCAAGUCCGCGAACGGCGAUUUGUUUUUACAUUUCUAUUUUUUACGGAUGAAACCACACACGGUAACAAUAAUUAACAUGAAACAGAAGAUACACAAUGUGUUAAUAAGCGAGCUUUAAAGGUGCUAGCAGGUGGGAUUUUUUGCAGUUAGGUGCCUAACUAGCCGUUUCCCACUGUUUCAACUUUGUGCUCAUUCUUCUCAGCUAGCUAGCGAUAGCUAGCUAACUAACUCAGCGCCAGAAAUGCCGCUGACUCUCCCUGCGCUGGUUGAUGGUCCUGGUGCUGGCGCGAAGCUUGCGGAGCCUCAGAGCACGAAGACGCAGCUGAAGGUCCUGGGGGAUCUUUCCUCCCUUGGCCCGGAUCUCCUUCAGCCUCUGAAUGGGCGUUUUGGUCAGGGUGAAGUCACAGAUGGUGGGAUGUGGCUCCAUUCCAACAUGGCAGUGACGCACAGACGGGAAGUAACCCUCAGCCCAAACCACCACCUUGUACUCCCCCGGGUUCAGGAGACGCCAGUAGUCCCCGUCAGUGGCUGAGGAAAUAAAAACAAGACACCUGAACCCUGAACCCUCUACCCUGAAACCUGGAAGCUGUACCGGCCUCCCGCCCCAUUCCUGUUUGGCUGUGGACUUCUAUUUGGACUUGCUAUGCCAGUAUGUUUUUGUAUCUUUACUUCACACUAAAUUAAUGAACUGUCAGCUUAGAUCAGUGGCGUAAGAAGUAUUCAGAUCCCUUACUUAAAUAAAAAAACUAGUACCACACUAUAAAAAACAACAACAUUACUGUUACAAGUAAAAGUCCUGCAUUGAAAAUGUAACUUAAGUAAAAGUAUGUCAUCAGGAAAAUCUACUUUAAGUAUUAAAAGUAAAAGUAAAAAACCCCACAUUUUAGAAACAGGAAACGAUCAAAAUUGUUCCGUCCAUCAAUUAAGUGUUUAAUUGUAUAAUAAUUUCAGCUAGAGUUGUAGGCCGUUAAUUGGUAGGGCAUA